UACGGGGGGGGCAAGCGUUGUUCGGAAUUACUGGGCGUAAAGGGCUCGUAGGCGGCCAACUAAGUCGGAUGUGAAAUCCCCAGGCUCAACCUGGGAACUGCCCUCCAAACUGUUUGACUUGAGUCCGGGAGAGGUGAGUGGAAUUCCCAGUGUAGCGGUGAAAUGCGUAGAUAUUGGGAGGAACACCAGUGGCGAAGGCGGCUCACUGGACCGGAACUGACGCUGAGGCGCGAAAGCGUGGGGAGCAAACAGG
rnacentral:rRNA from 1 species